UUGAUCUCCUGACCUCGUGAUCCACCCGCCUUGGCCUCCCAAAGUGCUGGGAUUACAGGCGUGAACCGCUGUUCCCAGCCGACGCUCAAUUUCUUUAGCUCUUUCUGACUUAUAUGCAAAAAACAUAACAGCAGUUUAUCACCAAGUGUACUUAAUGACCUGUCAGUUGACCACUUGAAUAGGUCCUUUUUAAAUUUUGACAGAAGCAAACAAAGAAUUAGAAGUAACCUAAAGUGCAAAACUACAUGAAGUCUUUCCCAGCCAAUAAAUUCACCUACUUUCUUAAAAUCAACUGCAGAGUUUUGAAUUGUCCCUUUGAUGAGGAGGACAGCCCAGGUACCAAGGCCAGGUACCAGGGUGAAUAAAGGAAGAGAAGCAACGUGGGAGAAGGAGCUGUGGCCAAGGGGGACACGCUAGGCGCGUGCCCUCAUCCAAGGACCUUCUACAGGAAUUCCAGGGCAGAAUCCAUGUGGAACUCCUGCUGUGAUUCUCCAGGGGCUCCCCGGCUCUUGGAAAGGCUUCUGUGUUCCAGGGGUCCAACAUCACUCCGUGAAAGUCUGCUCCCCACCUAGGAGCCCCCUCGAGCCACAGCAGCCUUGCCAGCUGGAGAAGGACCCGAGACGUGCAGAUGGGAGUUGUGGCAGUAGUGGCCAUCUUGAGGGACAGACACCGGGAGAAAACGAGUGAUGCGUGCAAGGAGGGGCAUCGCUGAGCCCACACAAGACUCAAGAUGGAUGAGACAGAGGCGGCCUCAGGUGCCUGCAGGUGGAGAGAGAAGCACUGGGAAGCCUGAAGGAGCAUGAGAAAGACUGUUGCUGUAAGACACGGCGCUAUCUAUGGCCUGAAUAUUUGUUAUCUGUUGAAAUCCUAACCCCGAAGGUGAUGGUAUGAGGAGGUGAGGACUUUGGGAUGGGAUGACUGCUCUCAUAAAGGAGGCUAGAGAAAGGCUCCUGGCCCUUUCCAGCAGGCGAGGACACAGAUGCCAUCUUGAACCAGGAAGUGGCCACACCAGACACGGAAUCUGCCAGCACCUGGUUCCUGCACUUCCCAACCUCCAGAUCUGUGAGAAAUAAAUUUCUGUUGUUUACAGCCAUCCACUCUGUGCUUCAGAGACCUGAACAGACUAAGACAGAUGGUGAGCAGCGCUCUAUAAAGGUGGUGAUUAUAAAGUGAAAUUAAACAUUAUAUAUAAAAAUCCAUGACUGGCUGGGUGCAGUGGUUCACACCUGUAAUCCCAACA
rnacentral:lncRNA from 1 species